rnacentral:misc_RNA from 1 species
GAUGAAGAACGCAGCGAAAUGCGAUAAGUAAUGUGAAUUGCAGAAUUCAGUGAAUCAUCGAAUCUUUGAACGCACAUUGCGCCCGCCAGCACUCUGGCGGGCAUGCCUGUUCGAGCGUCAUUUCAACCAUCAAGCCCCCAGGGGCUUGUGCUGGGGCCCUGCGGCUGCCCGCAGGCCCUGAAAACCAGUGGCGGGCUCGCUAGUCACACCGAGCGCAGUAGCACAUCUCGCUCAGGGCGUGCGGCGGGCUCCUGCCGUGAAACCCCCCACUGUAACCCCAAAGGUUGACCUCGGAUCAGGUAGGAAUACUCGCUGAACUUAAGCAUAUCAAUAAGCGGAGGA